UUGAAUUCUUUAUCAAUUCGCACACAGUUGUGCUGAGAUACUAAAGAAUUAAACAAUGUUAACUGUUCUUUCUGUGUGGUCAUGCAUAUUUUGAGAAACUAGUUUUAUUGAUUUUGCCCUCAUCUAUAUAUAAGGGAGUAUAUCUGAUGUAGGUGGCAGUUAGAAAGGUUAAAUUAGAAUUAUUGUGUAGAUCUACAAUGAACCUGAAGUUUUUUAUAAGCUGAAUGUUGCUGCAAUUUUCAUGUUGAAUUUUUUUUUAAAUAAAAUGUUAUUUUCUACUAAAAUGGCAAAAAGUUUCAUAGUUUUUAAAUUUCUGUCAGCUCUGUUUUUGUGGGAAAAGCCAUUAAGAAGCCUUAAUUGGAGCAAAAUUGAAUUAUUGUCGUCCUGUACAAAAAUUGAUCUGCUAUAUAUUCCUUAUAAGUGAAAUCUUAAUUCUCCUGACAAAAAUUAAUGAUUUUUACAAAUCUUAUUUAUCAUGAAAGUUUAAGUUACAGGCAGACUUAUCACACUAGCAGGUUUUUGCAGCAAAAUAAAAUUCUGAAAAAUACAGCUCAUAUUGCUUUAAUAAUACAUAUGCAAUGAAAUCUUUCAACACUUUUCAAAUUGUUCUUCCCAUUCUAUUAGAGACCAGACAGCUAUUAAGGGUGAAAAUCAAAUUAGUGCAAUUCAAUCAUUGAUGUUGAAGGAGAAAAAUUGGGAGGGGGGAUAUACAUUAACUUGAUAAUAAUCUAAUAAUGAGUUUGGUGUUAUAAUGAACUCUUUUUGUUCAGGAUUAUUUUGUGUCAAUUUAGAAUAUAAAUGAUAUAUUGUAGAUUUUUUCCUCCAUGGAAACCGAUUUCAAUAUUAUGCAGCUGCUGCAACUGUGACGAUGUGUAGAAAGUAAAUUACAAUUACAUUUUGUUUUUCAUUCAAUUACUUACUUUUACUUUCAUGUAUUUGUUGUUAGAUAUUACAUGUACUGUUUGCAUGUUUGAUUUUUUUAUGAAAUAUUAUGAGGGUUUUAUUGUACAAGAUGAAUUACCAUUGAUGAUUCGUUCUUAUGAACAAAAUAAUGCUUUACUCCAGAGUCUGGGUUUAUAACCCCUCUGGUUAAAUCUUUCUCACCCAUCAAACUGUUGAUCUGAUAUGUUUUUUGUCCCUAUUUAUGGUUUCAAAGCAUUAAGUUGAACAUGUAUUUGGUUUAUGUAUGUGUGGUGUUAAACAAAUCAUUCCAUUAGUAUAUUAACAUUCCAGAUGAAUUUGUUUAUUUUUGUUGAUGAAAACAGUGUAAACUGUAUUAAAUCUGAUGGAAAGGUGGAAUUAUUAAAUAUGGACUAUAUC
rnacentral:misc_RNA from 1 species